rnacentral:rRNA from 1 species
CCUANGGGUGGCAGCAGUGGGGAAUUUUGGACAAUGGGGGCAACCCUGAUCCAGCCAUGCCGCGUGAGUGAAGAAGGCCUUCGGGUUGUAAAGCUCUUUCGGACGGGACGAAAUGGUUACGGUGAAUAACUGUGACUGAUGACGGUACCGUAAUAAGAAGCACCGGCUAACUACGUGCCAGCAGCCGCGGUAAUACGUAGGGUGCGAGCGUUAAUCGGAAUUACUGGGCGUAAAGCGUGCGCAGGCGGAUUGUUAAGCAAGACGUGAAAUCCCCGGGCUUAACCUGGGAAUGGCGUUUUGAACUGGCAGUCUAGAGUGUGUCAGAGGGGGGUAGAAUUCCACGUGUAGCAGUGAAAUGCGUAGAGAUGUGGAGGAAUACCAAUGGCGAAGGCAGCCCCCUGGGAUAACACUGACGCUCAUGUACGAAAGCGUGGGGAGCAAACAGGAUUAGAUACCCCGNUANUC